rnacentral:rRNA from 1 species
UACAGAGGGGUGCUAGCGUUGUUCGGAAUCAUUGGGCGUAAGGGCUCGUAGGCGGUUUGUCGCGUCGGGAGUGAAAGUCCAUUGGCUUAACUGGUGGCUUGCUUUCGAUACGGGCAGACUGGAGGUAUGCAGGGGGAGAACGGAAUUCCUGGUGUAGCGGUGAAAUGCGCAGAUAUCAGGAGGAACACCGGUGGCGAAGGCGGGUCUCUGGGCCGAUACUGACGCUGAGGAGCGAAAGCGUGGGGAGCGAACAGG